GGGUUCCUCACGUCCGGUGCCGCCCCCUCCUUUCUUCCAUCUGUUGCGAUGAGAGGAGCCAUUACUGACCUGCCUGCACCGCACCUUCAAUGAGAGGAAGUGUGUCAGCUCGAUAGCGCCGCACCAGCACUCCCACGAUUAUCUGAUGGGCAUUUGCGGCAUUCUUCAUUGGUAGAGGCAGCUUCUUCUCCCUCCCCUGCACCAUGGAUUUCUUCAGAUUAGUGAGCUCUAAUUCACCCCCAAGCACAAGGCCAUUGAGGAAGAACCAAGCACAGAAGCGCUGUCUUCGUUUCAUCCUUGGACCUCUGAUUACUCUGAUCUUUGGUGUUCAACGUUCUGCCAGUUGGGAGUAUAUGUAACGAGGAAAGCAGACCGGCUAACUGAGAACCAUGGAUUCGGCCUUGCUGGAUCAGAGGGCCAAGCUUGUGUUUCUGAACACUGUAUUUGUUGGAGGCACUGCUGUUCAUCAUAUAAAUACUCCUUGGAUGUGAUUAUGCUUUGUGUCAUUGUAAGGGUGGGAUUCUAUGACCGGAACAACUAGAAAACUAGGUGUGAAAUUAUGAGUUUUUGUGAUCAACUUCACACUUUACGUUUUACCUUUCUUUUCUUGUUGUAAAGAUUAAUUAAUUUA